CUCUCUGGUAUUCCCAUUCCUUCAAUGUCCAUAAAUACGCUCAGCCUCUCAAUUCUUCUCUCACAAGUCACAACCCAUUUCCUCAUUUUCUAAUUUUGUGAUCUUUUCUUCAAGCUUCUUCUCCUCUGUCUUCAAAGAUUCUUGCAGGCACAACGCGGGAUCUUCACUUUAGAUUUGCAGAGUAGCAACAAUGGCGUCCCAGAACAGAGUAGAUCUGGACGGCAACCCGAUUAAGCCGAUCACCAUUUGCAUGAUUGGCGCUGGUGGGUUCAUUGGCUCUCACCUUUGUGAGAAGCUCAUGGCUGAAACCCCUCACAAGGUGCUUGCUCUUGAUGUUUACAAUGACAAGAUUAAGCACCUUCUUGAGCCCGAUUCCCUCCCCUGGGCCGAUCGCAUCCAGUUCCACCGUCUCAAUAUCAAGAAUGAUUCCAGGCUCGAGAGUCUCGUUCGAAUGGCAGAUCUGACGAUAAAUCUUGCUGCGAUCUGUACACCGGCGGACUACAAUACGCGACCACUUGACACCAUUUACAGCAAUUUCAUCGACGCAAUUCCUGUGGUUAAAUACUGUUCUGGCAACAACAAGCGUCUCAUUCACUUUUCAACUUGCGAAGUCUAUGGUAAGACAAUUGGAAGCUUUCUUCCAAAAGAUAGCCCUCUUCGUCAGGAUCCGGCAUAUUAUGUUUUGAGUGAGGAUGCUUCUCCUUGCAUCUUUGGUCCCAUUGAGAAGCAAAGAUGGUCGUAUGCAUGUGCGAAACAAUUGAUUGAGAGGCUGAUUUAUGCUGAGGGUGCUGAAAAUGGGAUGGAUUUUACAAUUGUAAGACCAUUCAACUGGAUCGGACCAAGGAUGGACUUCAUUCCUGGCAUCGAUGGCCCAAGUGAGGGCGUUCCCAGGGUUCUAGCUUGCUUUAGCAAUAAUCUCCUUCGACACGAGCCACUGAAGCUUGUGGAUGGCGGUCAAUCCCAAAGAACAUUCAUAUACAUUAAGGAUGCCAUUGAAGCAGUUCUUUUGAUGAUUGAAAACCCAGCAAGGGCCAAUGGCCAUAUCUUCAAUGUGGGCAACCCCAACAAUGAAGUAACAGUGAAGCAGCUUGCUGAAAUGAUGACCAAGGUUUAUGCAAAGGUAAGCGGGGAACCUUCGCUCGAGACCCCGACAAUCGAUAUAAGCUCUGAAGAAUUCUAUGGCGUGGGCUAUGACGACAGUGAUAAGAGAAUUCCUGACAUGACCAUCAUCAACAAGCAACUCGGUUGGAACCCGAAGACAUCACUCUGGGACCUGCUGGAAUCGACUUUGACCUACCAACAUCGAACAUAUGCGGAGGCAGUGAAGCAGGCAACAUCAAAACCAGCUGCAUCUAGCUAGGUAGAGAGUGUGACGAUGAUGCUGUUACAGUGAAGGAGUUUUAUUUGUAUUCUUUUCUGAGAUUAUAAGUAUAUGUUGAUGGAUGAGAAUCCCACAUUGGUAACAUUUUUUCUUUUUUUUUUUGUUCUUGAUUUUGAAAUGUGUUAGUUGUGGUGGGGAUAGGCGAAGAAUAUGUGUAGUAGUAGCAGUGUAAGCCCUGUUGGGGGGAAGACUCGGUGUUAUAUGUAAAAUGAUUGAAUUUCAAGCUUGGACUACUACAAAGUCCAAGGGAGAAUACAACUAAAAUCUACUACGUUUCUGUCUUUUA